UCCAUUGAUAGCAAAGGGGUAAAAUUGAGACUGUUAAUCAAUUGGUCGUAGGUUCGAUCCCUACCGCCGGAGCCA
rnacentral:tRNA from 1 species